rnacentral:rRNA from 1 species
CCAGACUACUACGGGAGGCAGCAGUGGGGAAUAUUGCGCAAUGGGCGCAAGCCUGAUGCAGCCAUGCCGCGUGUAUGAAGAAGGCCUUCGGGUUGUAAAGUACUUUCAGCGGGGAGGAAGGGAGUAAAGUUAAUACCUUUGCUCAUUGACGUUACCCGCAGAAGAAGCACCGGCUAACUCCGUGCCAGCAGCCGCGGUAAUACGGAAGGUCCGGGCGUUAUCCGGAUUUAUUGGGUUUAAAGGGAGCGUAGGCCGGUCUUUAAGCGUGCCGUGAAAUUUUGUGGCUCAACCAUGAGAGUGCGGCGCGAACUGGAGACCUUGAGUGCGCGGAAGGCAGGCGGAAUUCGUGGUGUAGCGGUGAAAUGCGUAGAGAUCGGGAGGAACACCAGUGGCGAAGGCGGCCUACUGGGCUUUAACUGACGCUGAGGCACGAAAGCGUGGGUAGCAAACAGGAUUAGAUACCCUAGUA